UACGUAGGGUGCGAGCGUUGUCCGGAAUUAUUGGGCGUAAAGAGCUCGUAGGCGGUCUGUCGCGUCUGCUGUGAAAAUCCAAGGCUCAACCCUGGACCUGCAGUGGGUACGGGCAGACUAGAGUGCGGUAGGGGAGAUCGGAAUUCCUGGUGUAGCGGUGAAAUGCGCAGAUAUCAGGAGGAACACCGGUGGCGAAGGCGGAUCUCUGGGCCGUAACUGACGCUGAGGAGCGAAAGCAUGGGGAGCGAACAGGA
rnacentral:rRNA from 1 species